GAUGAAGAACGCAGCGAAAUGCGAUAAGUAAUGUGAAUUGCAGAAUUCAGUGAAUCAUCGAAUCUUUGAACGCACCUUGCGCCCUUUGGCCAUUCCGAAGGGCAUGCCUGUUUGAGUAUCAUGAACACCUCAACUCUCAUGGCUCGCCAUGAUGAGCUUGGACUUUGGGGGUCUUGCUGGCCUGUGGUCGGCUCCUCUCAAAUGGAUCAGCUUGCCAGUGUUUGGUGGCAUCACAGGUGUGAUAACUAUCUGCGCUUGUGGUUUUCCAUCAGAUAACCUUCAGUGAUGGAGGUUCGCUGGAGCUCAUAAACGUCUCCCCUAAGCGGGGACAGCCCUUUGAAUGUUUGACCUCAAAUCAGGUAGGACUACCCGCUGAACUUAAGCAUAUCAAUAAGCGGAGGA
rnacentral:misc_RNA from 1 species